GGAAGGUUCAAUACCUUUUGGUCAUGCCUUGAAGACAAUGAAGAAGAUCUGAAAGAUGAAUAUUGCAUCACUAGAGCGGAUUCCGACUAAUUACCUGUCCAUGACUCCAUGUCUUGUUUAUUUGCAUCACUUGGGAGACUUUGCAGUUGAACAAUGUGUCAAUGUGUACUUGUAUUAGUUGUAUGGUAUGCCUGUAGUCCUGUACUGUAUUGUUGAAUGUGUGGACCGUGGUGAUUGGUGAACUAUUGAACUGUGCUGUGUGAUUUGUGAUUGUGAUGAAUUGAGAUUAUGAACGUUGUGAUCUAUUUAUAUGUUAAAUAUCAUCCAUUUAUACU
rnacentral:lncRNA from 1 species